rnacentral:lncRNA from 1 species
CUACCAUACUUACCUUAAAUACCAACUAGUUAGUCAUUUUCAAUUUGAUUAACUUAUAGACUUGGGUUUGACCAUGGAGCUACGAUCAAAGUCCAUAUUGGUCUAAUCAAAACUUGACCAACUGCAACUAUUGAAAUUGAUCAAGAGAAGAAAUUGAUCAAAUCAGAAUUAACUUUUAAUUAGAUUUGAUCAAUUACUAAC